UUCUAGUGCAACGUUCUCUUUUAAUUUGACUCCAAAAAUACACACACAUACAUAUAUAUGUAUAUGGAUAACAAAAUGAUUAUCCAGGUAAUGGGGUUGGAAUCGGUGUCUCGAAGAGCACUAGUUGCCUGCGGCAAUGACAGGAGGCUUUUUGUACCACCAGUUAGAGGAUGCAUCAAGCGCAAAAUAUUUGUCCUUCUGUAUCACAAGUUGAAGCUUCUUGGCCGGCUCUCCGUUCAUUACCUUCCUAGCAUCAGCAGCCAGCGUUAACUAGCUAUUCAUCCUCUCAUUUUUACAAAUAAAAUACCCAUAAGGUAUAAUAUAAGGAAGCAUGAAAUGUUCCAAGAAAUUAUUGUCUUGUCAUUGUUAUCCUAUUUCUGUCUUAUCAUCAAAUGAUAAUAUAACCUGAAUGUGAACUCUCUUGAUUAAAUUAUGAUUAGAUAAGUCAUGCUUGAUUUGGAAAUAUACAGCUCCUGGGAGACCUACAAUAUGAUAUCAGAAUUGCAUGUUUAUAUCAUUGUUUUUGG
rnacentral:misc_RNA from 1 species